rnacentral:rRNA from 1 species
AUUGAACGCUGGCGGCAUGCUUUACACAUGCAAGUCGAACGGCAGCACGGACUUCGGUCUGGUGGCGAGUGGCGAACGGGUGAGUAAUGUAUCGGAACGUGCCCAGUCGUGGGGGAUAACGUAGUGAAAAUUACGCUAAUACCGCAUACGAUCUAUGGAUGAAAGCGGGGGAUCGCAAGACCUCGCGCGAUUGGAGCGGCCGAUAUCAGAUUAGGUAGUUGGUGGGGUAAAGGCCCACCAAGCCAACGAUCUGUAGCUGGUCUGAGAGGCCGACCAGCCACACUGGAACUGAGACACGGUCCAGACUCCUACGGGAGGCAGCAGUGGGGAAUUUUGGACAAGGGGCGAAAGCCUGAUCCAGCCAUUCCGCGUGCAGGAUGAAGGCCCUCGGGUUGUAAACUGCUUUUGUACAGAACGAAAAGGUUUCUACUAAUACUAGGAGCUCAUGACGGUACUGUAAGAAUAAGCACCGGCUAACUACGUGCCAGCCGCCGCAGUAA